ensembl:misc_RNA Metazoa_SRP Metazoan signal recognition particle RNA
GGCAGACUCUGUGACCAUGCCUGCAGUCUCAGCUACUCUGGAGUCUGAGGCAGGAGGCUCGCUUGAGUCCAGGAGUUCGGGCUAUAGUGUGCUAUGCUGAUUGGGUGUUCACACUAACUUUGUGAUCAAUACGGUGACCUCUCAGGACUGGGCACCACCAGAUUGCCUAAGGAGGGGUGAAUCUACCCACGCUGGAAACACAGCAGGUCAAAACUCCUGUGCUGCUCAGUAGUGGUAUCACAACUGUGAAUAGCCACUGCACUCCAGCCUGGGCAAUAUAGCAAGAUCCCAUCUCUC